rnacentral:rRNA from 1 species
GACGAGGGGUCCAAGCGUUGUUCGGAAUCAUUGGGCGUAAAGCGGGUGUAGGUGGCUCUAUAAGUCAGAAGUGAAAGCCCCGGGCUUAAUCCGGGAAGUGCUUUUGAUACUGCAGAGCUUGAAUGUGGGAGAGGGUAGUGGAAUUCCAGGUGUAGUGGUGAAAUACGUAGAUAUCUGGAGGAACACCGGUGGCGAAGGCGGCUACCUGGCCCAACAUUGACACUGAGACCCGAAAGCGUGGGUAGCAAACAGG